ACGUGAUCUGAGUUCAGACCGGAGUAAUCCAGGUCAGUUUCUAUCUAUAAAGAGCUCUUUCUAGUACGAAAGGACCGAAAAAGCAUGGCCUAUGUGUUACACAAGCCGUAAAUGAUAAUUUUUGAUUAAAACUUAAUUUAUAUUUAAUCUUUUAUAUAGCUCAAGAGAAGAGCA
rnacentral:rRNA from 1 species